rnacentral:tRNA from 1 species
UAGUUCAAUGGUAGAACACCAGCCUUCCAAGCUGGAUACGUGGGUUCGAUUCAGAA